UGGUGGAGUGAUUUGUCUGGUUAAUUCCGAUAACGAACGAGACCUUAACCUGCUAACUAGUUUAUUCCAUUACAUGGUUUACAACUUCUUAGAGGGACUAUGUGGACAAAACACAUGGAAGUUUGAGGCAAUAACA
rnacentral:rRNA from 1 species